GAUAACCUUCCUGGUGGAUGUGUUGAAGAAAGGGAAUGUCUUCUUUAAUUUCAUACUUUUGACGGAGUAACUUAGCAGAUAUGUAUGUAAACAUUGUUGUUUAUUUGUCAACAGGAAACCUUCUUUUCUUUUUCUAAUAAAAUCUUUUAUUUUCACCUGUUCAAAAAUAUGUUGACGCAAGGGAGACAAUCAGCAUUGAUAAAAGUAUUUAUCCUGAUUUAGAGUAAUUUCUUGCAAUUUGAUUGGCUGAUAUUGUCCUAAUAAAUUUCAGUACAAGUUUUUAUUACGUCAAUAGGAAUUAUCUCCCAUAUUUAUGACGUCAAUUGGGAUUAUCUCCCUUAUACCAUUGACCUAAUAAAAAAAAAUUUUAAAAAUGAGUUGCUUCAUAGUCCUAAUAUUUUAAUUUUUCACAGUUUUAGAUUAAUAUCUAAAAUAUAUUUGGUUGAUAUUGUCUUAUAUUGAAUUUAAAUAUAAUAAUAUGAAAUAUAACAAAAUCAGGAUAAAUUCGUUACACAGUGUUCAAUUGUCCUAAUACGGAAUUUAUCGGGUCAAUAAAAUUCAUAUCGGGUUUGACUUCGCCUCACCCGAUAUGAAUUUUAUUGACCCGAUAAAUUCUCGUAUUAGGACAAUUACACACUGUGUAACUAAUAAUAUUUUUCCAAAAAAGUAUAAAAAUACAGUAUUUUUGAAAAGUUCAUACAAUUCGUAAUAACUCUUUGUCCACCGGUUCGUAUAUUUAGAUGAAUCGAAGUUCAUUCAGACACUUGUUAAAAACAAGAAAAUCAGAGAAGCCAGGUCAUUUAAUUUCACUUGCACUUCUGAUUGGAUUCUAUUGAUAUAUCCCAAUAACUUGAAAAAGAGAAACAACAUACACGGCUUCCUCCGCUUCAUUUGUGUGCCCCAUUUAUGGGCAUUAUGUUUUCUGGUCUGUGCGUGCGUGCGUCCGUCCGUUCAUUUGUUCGUUCGUCUGUUCGUCCGUCCGUCUGUCCUGCUUCAGAUUAAAGUUUUUGGUCGAAGAAGUUUUUGAUGAAGUUGAAGUCCAAUCAACUUGAAACUCAGUACACAUGUUCCCUAUGAUCUGAUCUUUCUAAUUUUAAUGCCAAAUUAGAGAUUUCCCCCCAUUUUCACGGUCCACUGAACAAAUAAAAUGAUUGUUCGGUUGGGGCAUCCGUGUACUGGGGACGCAUUCUUGUUUAGACCUAUACCUCGAAUUUGAUAUACACUAUCAUCGCAGUACCAUAGUUUAUGACAAACGCGACGAUUUUAAUUGUUCAACUUAUCAAUUUAUCCCACCUUAGUAGCCAUAUACCAACUUCACCUGUAUUUGGGAUAUACAUUUCCAGACUUAUUCAGUAUUCAAUAGCUUGCAGCUUCUACUCAGACUUUGUAAAACGUCACUAGUAUUUAAGCAGAACGUUGAUGAACCUAGGGUAUGUCAAAGAACGUCUUGUCGAGAUCUUUUUUUCUCAAAAAAGUUAAUCAGAAGGUACCAAGACCUUGUUGGUAAAUAUUCCAUAUCAACUUCACAAAUAUUACACGAUGGUCUUGAGUAUAGAUUCUUAAAACUGAUGUUGUUUAUCGUCUUAAUUACGUGUUAUACUAUUUUUUAUUUGUCUUUAUGAAAAUUACUUUUACUGUUUAGUCUAUUUUUGUUGAUAUCCAUUUGACGAUGCUUGUACUUGUACAUACCGUCAUUGUGCAGGUUGUGUUAUUGUUCUUUGAUAAUUCUCGUAUUCUUGUCUUUCAUUUUUGCUUAUGUGUGUCUUUUUUUGUGUUUGUAUGAUACAAAUGACGUGGUUAUGUACUUAAACAUCCUCUUAUUGUGCUGGUGUUAUACAUUUUUGUAUUCUUGCCUUUGAUAUUUGCUAAUGUGCUUUGUCUAUAUGCCUUUUUAUGUUUCUUUGAUACAUAAAUGACUCGGCUCUGUACUUAUACAUCCCGGCAUUGUCUUAUUGUACUAUGUUAAUUUGGUGUCUUCUUUUAUUUAAUUUUCGCUAAUGUGCUCAGUCUAUAUUCCAUUUUUUUUUCGUUAUUUUUAUAGUGAUUAAAAUUAUAACACAAUGUUGACUGUUGUACCCCCAUUUUUGACAUUUUACCGAUUAUGUAUUUGUUUGUUUGCAUAUUGUUGUCAAUAUAAUGGAAUUUGAUGCGCCUGUCAUGCAAGUAAGAGGUUUAGCUAUCAUUAAAAUCAGGUUUGAUCCACCAUUUUCUACAUAAGAAAAUGCCCGUACAAAGUCAGGAAUAUGACAGUUGUCGCCCAUUUGUUUCAUUUGGUUGAUCUUUUGACUUUGACAUUAAAUUUUGAUUAAGACUUUCCUAUUUGAAUUUUCCUCGGAGUUCAGUAUUUUUGUGAUUUUUGUUUUUGCAAUACAACGAUGUAUGGUUCGAACAAAAUGGGCCAUGGAACAACAUGGACACUCUUGAUCAAAAAAAAGAAACGACAACACUUUGCCUAAUUGAAAAAUCGACAAAGAGACGAACAACAGUGUUCACAACACUACAUUACUGAGUUGGCUACUGUGUCAUUAUCCAACUAGUUGUAAAUACUUAAAUGUUGAGACAUGCUAUAUCUUUUUCGUUCAUAGGUAGUACAUUUACUGAUUAACAUGAUGAAUAAUUCGAAGCACUAAGGAUUAUGAUACGUUUAAACAUACAUGCCUAAGCCUUACUCGACAACAUUUUAAGAAUUUGUGGUUACCAAUGUUCUUCAAGUUCGUUUUUCAUUUAGCCAUUCAACUGUUUUGAUUCGAAAUUCACUGACUCGCCUUAUAAAGAUGUAACGUACCUUACAUAUAAAACCUCUUUCCAACCCGUACGAUUGAUAUAUUUAAAUAUAGAAUGAAUUUAAAAAAAAAUAUCUCACAAAAAUAAUUUAUCUAUGAUAUAUGUGAAAACGAAGACUAUAUUUAUAGAAGACGUUAUUUCUUUAAUAAAAAAAACGUAUAAUCGGAAUUUAUUAAACUGACGCCUUUCUUCAAUUUGUCUUUAUAUCAACCAGUUGUUAAUAUACUAGAGGGACGAUCAAACUCAUACUAGCUAUGCUAAAAUGAAAUAUUGAAACGUUGCCGACUACAUGUACUUCAAUUAAACUAUCAUUUAUUUUCUAUCUUUUAUAGUAAACGUUUGAAAUGGCGUCAUCAACUCCAGAUUGCAGUGUUUGCUAUCUUCGUCAUAUCACCAAACCAUCAAUAACCUGGUGUACUGAAUGUGACGAAGGACUUUGCAUCGAUUGUCAAGACCAUCACAGUCUGUCAAAAGGAACACGACAUCAUAAUACUACACCAAUAACCGAAUACCUGAAUUUACCAAAAGAUAUUCAUCAAAUCACUGAAAACUGUGACAGACACAACGAAAGGUAUAUAAUUUACUGUAAAAAACAUGAAUGUCCUUGCUGUAGUAGUUGUAUUGUAGAAAAUCAUAGCGAAUGUCGAGAUUUGGCAAAAUUGGCUGAUAUCAUCAAUAACAUUAAAACUUCAAACGCCUUCUAUGAGAUCGAACAUUCGUUGUCAGAACUCUCACAAAACAUCAAAAUAAUUCGACAAAACCGACAAAACAAUCUGAAGACGUUGUCAGAGAAGAAAAGGCAGAUCCUGCAAGAAAUCAAAGAAACGAAGAAUACAAUCAACAAUCAUUUAGACAAAAUACAAGAAGACACAACCAAAAAAUUAAAUUUAAUGGAAGAGAAGGAAAGCAAGAAAAUUGAAGUAUUACUAACGCAAUUACAGGAAGAGGAAAAUGAAGUUUCUAAAUGUCAAAUAAACAUGGAAAAAAUCAGGCAGCAUGCCACAGAUUUGCAGUCAUUUGUUUCUAUGAAGCAGCUUGAAAAUAAAAUCUCCAUCAAAGAACAACUCCUGCAGUCUAUUACCAAAGCAGAAAUUUGCAAAGAAAGUCAAUUGUCGUAUCAAGUCAGUUUCGCUAUACAAAAGUUCGUCACCGAUAUCCAGAGUUUUGGCGAAGUCAAGCUAAAUACCAAGCCUAGUGUUGUGGAGUUGACACGGAAUAAAGACAAACAAGCACAGAUCAUGGUACCGCGAGUCUUAUCUAGGUCGAUUGAAAAUAUCAACCUGAAGAUCCAUAAAACUAUAAAUACUAUGGGAAAUAAUACCUUGGGCUGUUGCAUGUUACCAGAUGGUAGAAUGGCAUUUACUGAUUAUAGUUACUGCACUGUAAGGAUUUUUAACAGUGAUGGAUCAAAAGAUUUUGAAGUGGAAACACCGAAUUGGGCAUUUGACAUAGCGUACUCAGGAGGAGGCAAUACUUUGGCUGUUACAUCAGGUCAUUCACGAAAAAAUCCUCGAGAUAAUCAACUUACAAAGCAAGGAAAAAAUUGAGGGCAUACCUAUUGAUUAUGAUUAUUAUGGCAUAGCAGUCAGGGAUAACAAAUUUAUUUGUUCUGCAGCAGGAAAAGGAAUACAACUAACCAAUCCGCACAACAAUUCAACAGUUGAUUUAGUAAAAGCAAAUCUUCCUCCCUUUUGUUACGUUGCAUGGUUGGGUGAUAAAAUUUACCACACAGAUUACAAAUCUAGUUCCGUGACAUGCAGUGCACUGAAAGGUACAACACUGUGGUCAUUUAAGAAUGAAAGCGCAUUGAAGAACCCACUUGGUAUUUCUACAGAUGACUGCGGUAAUGUGUACGUAGUAGGGGAGUCGUCUAAAAAUGUAGUAGUUAUAUCUGCUGAUGGACAACAGCAUAAGGAAAUACUCACAACCAGUCUUGGUUUUUCAGAUCCAACGACUCUAAGUUUUAAUAGAAGUUCAAAUCAGUUAUUAGUUGCAAAUAGAUUUGACAAAGCAGUUAUAUUUUCUCUGAAUUGAUUAUUAAUCCUUACUGACAAUACACAGUGUAGACUUGAAUCCAACAUUUCAAAGUUUCAUGUAUAGAAAAGAGUCGAUUCAUCCCAGAAACAUGCAUAUGACAAAUAUAAUGCAAUUUACUUUCUGUAAAUACAAUACACUAAGUGUAGACAUUUGGUAUCCAAUUUCAAGAUUUAACUCAUCGAAUGAAUUUUGUUUUAACUCAUAAAAUAUAUCAUACCUUAAGAAGUGUGAUUAACAAUUUCACCAUGUCUAGUUCUGUUUGAGAUUUUAAGCAAUGUCAAUAUAUAUAUGAUUUUCAUCUUUUAUCAUUUGUGCCCAGAUUUAGAUAUAUCGUGUUUGUAAAUAUUGAACUGAAUUUUAACAGC
rnacentral:lncRNA from 1 species